AGAAACUUAGGAUCUAAACCUCAAACCGGGGGCCUUCAAAGCCCCAAAUAAGAGACAAAACCUCUUAGUUUCUG
rnacentral:tRNA from 1 species